GUGCUUUCUUCUACAAGCCUGGAGGUGACAGGGAAGGAUCCUCAUGACUGUGUGGUGAACCAGGGAAGCCUGUCGGAGAAGCGGUUUGUGACGGCAGUGGAGGAGAAUCUGGAGCAAAGACCAGGACAUCACCACCCCAGAGUCCCUGCAAGAGGAAGUGAAAUAGAAGCUGAAACAGGUGACCCAGGAAGCACUGAAUCACAAGCUACUCACCAGCAGUGGCUGAGAUUUUCAGCAGGGACAGCACCCAUUGGAGAGCACACAGCACAGCCAGGCUGACUGCAGGAACAGCACCCAUUGGAGAACACACAGCCAGGCUGACUGCAGGGACAGCACCCAUUGGAGAGCACACAGCACAGCCAGGCUGACUGCAGGGACAGCACCCAUUGGAGAACACACAGCCAGGCUGACUGCAGGGACAGCACCCAUUGGAGAGCACACAGCACAGCCAGGAUGACUGCAGGAACAGCACCCAUU